UUUUUUUUUUUUUUUUUUGGAGAGAGAGAGAGACUGAGACAGAGAUAGCAUGAGAAGGGGAAGGGGUAGGGAUAGGGACAGAGGGAGGAGAAGCAGAAUUCCCGCUGAGUAGAGAGCCUGGGAUCAUGACCUGAACUGAAGGCAGUCACUUAACCGACUGAGCCCCCAGGCGCCCUGGUUCUUUUCUAAUGGGAAUAACGAAAUUUAGAAUUUAUGGGUUGGUGGGACACAAACCUGUUGGAAUACUGUAAACACCAUAUGUGUCUGUGAGUGAGGUUGUAUGUUUAAUGCAUCCCUACCAUCAAUAGUAAAAAAAUAUUAACCAUGCUGGAAGAAAUAAUGAAUUGUACUCCUACUCAAUAGUUAGAAAAUAUUAUAAAAAUUGUAGUCUAUGAAGAGGUGAAAAAAAUAACAGCACAAAAAAAGUUGACAGUGAAAAUAUGUAGGGAAAAGUGAUUAUAAAGUUUUAUCUGGGGGCACCUGGGUGGCUCAGUCAGUUAAGCGUCUGCUUCAGCUCAGGUCAUGAUCCCUGGGUUGGGAUUGAGCCCUACCUCAGGAUCCCUGCCUAAUGGGGAGCCUGCUUCUCCCAUCUCCCUCUGCUCCUCCCCACCCAGCUCAUGCUAAUAAAUAAAAAUCUUAAAAAACCAUAAAAAACAAAAAACGAUGUGUCUGUCAAUUUGUGUUAUUUUUUUGGCAUUUUAUGUUUGUAGCAUUUUAAUUGAUUGUGCUCUUUUUUCACUCCAAAUAUCCACUUGUGUAAAAUAAGGAAAAAAUCUAAUGAGAACAAAGAAGACAAUUACAUUGAGAAAACUGCUGCUCCCAGUGGGCAAUGGGCUAGAACAUUGCACUCUCACCCACCUCAUCCUACAUAAACCAAAUUUAAGACAUCAAAAAAAGUUUUAUAGUGCUUUCUACAUUUGUCUAACUUUGUAGAUACCGGUCUUAAUGCUACAAUGGUAUCUAAGCAGUUUAUUUUUGGUACUUUUAAGACUUCAUAGUUGAUAGUUUUAGGACUAGACCAAUUGUCUUGACUGUAUUCCAUCCUUUUCUAAGGCCUUCAUGCUUACCCUCUCCAUCUCUCUACCACCCAACCACUGCCCCAGGUUCCUCAGCCAGUAAACAUGCUGCAGUUAUUCUUAUACCAAAAAAUAUGUUUAUUUCCUCACUCUUCUCUACCUCUUUGUCCUAGUUGA
rnacentral:lncRNA from 1 species